CCUCAGAUGGGCGAUUGCCUUGCCUCCAUGGUUUUUCAUAACUACCAUUUUGCUCUCACACGAACUGUUGGCAAGGCAAGAAACCAGAAAAGUCUAGGCUCUGGCAGCAUUGGUUUCAAAGCCAAAGCACAAAAAGUUAAAAAGUUGAAGCGCCCUGGCUUCUUCUGGAGGUGCACACACAAUCUGCGGAGGUGCACACACAAUUUGUGGAGGAAACGUGCUGAGGAGCAACCUGGUCUGGAAACCAGCUGCAAGGAUGUGGAGGGAGCUACGCCCCUUCUCCCCCCAGGCCAGAGCCGUCUGCUGUGGGACUGACUAGGAGGAGAGAGCUGGAGCUCACCAACCUGCCGUCACCGCUCAUUGUGCCAAGCCCACAGCACUUCAGUAAACCCUGCUAAUCCCACAGCCAGUCUGGGCUGGAGGACAGACAGCACAUGACCGGAGGAAGAGGAAGAGCAAGAUAUCCUGAGGUAAAUUGUCCUUUGGUGGCAGCGAUGGAAAUAUGGGCUGAAGAUGGGGAGUCUCCCUUCACAGCCAGUGAGACGUUCUCUGUGUGCAGCUUCCCGACGGCUGUGGAUCCUUGGAGACCAAGGAUUUGUAAUGAUUUUUUGUGGGUGUUAAGUGUUCUUAUACAAGUGAAAAAUAAAUGACUCACAGGAAGAAAAGAAA